AGGAGUUUAAUCAAUGGGUCAAACCCCGAGAUGGGGUUUGCGCAGUUUGUCAGCGAGACGUGUGCUUUGGUUGGACACCAGCCUUGUCAAACUUUCCUGACGUGCUCCUGCAAAGUGCUCGGAGACGUUCAGUCCCCUCGGCUCCACCAAAGGGUGAUGAUGUCUCCGCUCUUCGAAGGAUUGUACCUGCGUGGACUCCGCUCUCGGGAAAUGCCUCUGCUUCACCGGGGCAUUUAAUUGCCCCCAGACGUAAUUUUUUAUUCUGCGCCAAGAAUAUAGUACCCUAAAUACACAUGAG